UUGAACCGAUAAAUGCAGAUAGGGGAUUGUCACUGUUUAUUGUUGUGCAAGCCUAUUUAAUUAGGAAGCCUGAAAUAAAUAUAUGAUCGCCACUUGGGCUAAUAGGGUUCAA
rnacentral:other from 1 species